rnacentral:piRNA from 1 species
UGUGUUUAUUGUUCACACUCUUGGUCCACU